GAUCGUGGGUUGUAUGAUUAUUAAAUCAGUUAUAAAAUAAUCUGUUUUUUUAAUAGGUUUAGUGGCACAAAAGUAAUAUUCCAAAGAAAAAUAGUGGUAAAAUAUAUCAAUGAUUCUGAAUUAAUAAUAUUGAUGUAUAAAUCUUUGGUGUAUUAUAGUAAGUUGAGUAUUAAAUCAGAGCAUUGGUUAUUUUUAUAGUUAGAGAAAUAUAAGGUAAUUGAUUAGUGUAUAGUUAGAGAAAUAUAGGGUGAGACCAAAAAAAAAGUUAAGUCUAGUGAAUAGGUCCAAUAAC
rnacentral:lncRNA from 1 species